GGGUUUCCUUAAGAAAGAAAACAACUUUACACGUGUUUGAAAACUGACAGCACAAAGCGAGCCUUUCUUCUUCUUCUUCUCCCUCGAUUGUCAUGAACUCUCCACCAGCAAAGCGACUUGACUUUGUUUCUGUUUCUGCACGAAGAAGGAAAACAUGAAAAUCAAAAGCGCCCAACGCAUUUGUACAUACCACCCACCAAAAGGCACAAGUUGGACAAGGAGUGAUUGUAGAGUUGUAAAAUGAUGACAUAGAGACACAACAGGUUGGGUAGCGAGACGCCAGCAACUGUGAGUGAGUUGAAAACUGUAGAUCGCACAAUCUUUGCUUGGCUGCAAGUGUAGCCUGGUCCUGGACCAAGCAAAGUGAAAUUCUUUGGUAGUCUGACGAUUUUGUUGGAAGUUCCAGAGCGCCCAACACUCAGCUGGAAGGAAGAGACAGCAGCUGAAGGGUCUUGACCCCAUGAUGCCACAACACCAGCUUUGCAGCAAUUGGCAAUCUGUUGGUUGUAGGGGACACCAGGGAGCAAGUCAACAACUGUAGGAUUUUUCUUACAACAAUGUGGUAUGUUUCCUUUAAACUUGCUACAGUCUCCUUGGUCAACGGCUUGUGCUCCAACCAUGGACCAGAUGACCUCUUUCUUUGCCCAUACCCAUCCUAAGGUCCAGCCAGGGCUCAUGAUGUGCCGGUACAUUUGAAAGUUGUUCGUCGUCACAACUG